rnacentral:rRNA from 1 species
UACGUAGGCGGCAAGCGUUGUCCGGAUUUACUGGGCGUAAAGAGCGCGCAGGCGGUCGGAUAAGUCGAGUGUGAAAGCCCCCGGCUCAACUGGGGAGGGUCAUUCGAUACUGUUCGACUCGAAGGCAGGAGAGGGAAGUGGAAUUCCCGGUGUAGUGGUGAAAUGCGUAGAUAUCGGGAGGAACACCAGUGGCGAAGGCGACUUCCUGGCCUGUUCUUGACGCUGAGGCGCGAAAGCUAGGGGAGCAAACGGG